rnacentral:tRNA from 1 species
GGGCCUGUAGCUUAAUUGGCUAGAGCACCGCAUUCGCAUUGCGGAGGUUAUGGGUUCAACUCCCAUCAGGUCCA